UCCCAUGUCCUACAAUGACAUAGCUUUACCAACAGGCGCCAUACCCCCUCCGUAUUGUUCUGUAUAUGGGGGAGAGACAUAUUUUGAACAGGUCAGCACAAAGUGACAGUACCUCAUGUUUUGUGGGUUUUCCCUCUAUCAUCUGUCUACAGGACAGGUGAUAAUGCAGGGGCCCCCUAAAGCGCAAUUAGCUUAGGGGACACAUAUUCCGACAGCCCGCUGCAUGGUGAGAGAAAUCCAACGUGAGCUUUCACAGAUGGCGCACCUCAAAAAAGAAAAUGGUGGAGCUCACUGCCCACAUAGCGCCCUUAUUGAUGCUAAUGGCGCUCUGGAAGAAGAGGUUCCUGAACGAGACCAACUGAUGAAGAUGAUCCACCAAUCAGAUUCCUCCGCCUGUUCCAUCUGAAUCCGACCCAACUUGGAUGCUGCUACAUUCCCGUAGAAUAAAAUUAAAUUGAAACUUAGUUAAUGGUUCCUGCAUGAGACCAACAUUUGAAGAUGAUCCACCAAUCAAAUUCCUCUG